CGGUUACUAUGAUCAUUGGGCGAUGUUGAUGGAAAAUUUUCUCAAAUCAAAGGAGUUCUUUGAUAUGGUGGAAACAGGUUAUGAAGAGCCAAAGAAGAGGCAGAGGUCGUGAGAGAGGCAGUCGAGAAAGAAGUGGAGAUGUUGGCAGGUCAGCAGACCUAGUCAGAAACGAUUGUGACAACAAAGGCAA